rnacentral:rRNA from 1 species
GAUGAACGCUAGCGGGAGGCUUAACACAUGCAAGUCGAGGGGCAGCACGAGAUAGCAAUAUUUUGGUGGCGACCGGCGCACGGGUGAGUAACACGUAUGCAACCUACCCUGUACAGGGGGAUAACCCGGAGAAAUUCGGACUAAUAUCCCAUAAAGAUAAUGAUGGGCAUCCAUUAUUAUUUAAAGCUCAGGCGGUACGGGAUGGGCAUGCGGAACAUUAGCUAGUUGGUAGGGUAACGGCCUACCAAGGCUACGAUGUUUAGGGGACCUGAGAGGGUGAUCCCCCACACUGGUACUGAGACACGGACCAGACUCCUACGGGAGGCAGCAGUGAGGAAUAUUGGUCAAUGGGCGCAAGCCUGAACCAGCCAUCCCGCGUGAAGGAAGAAGACGCUAUGCGUCGUAAACUUCUUUUCCAGGGAGUGAAUUUUCCGGUCGUGACCGGAAUUGACGGUACCCUGGGAAUAAGCAUCGGCUAACUCCGUGCCAGCAGCCGCGGUAAUAC